rnacentral:tRNA from 1 species
GCGUCGGUAGCUCAGUGGUAGAGCAUCGCCUUCACACGGCGGGGGUCGGGGGUUCGAAACCCUCCCGACGCACCA